rnacentral:rRNA from 1 species
UUUUCAUGAGACCGCGAACGGCUCAUUAAAUCAGUCAAGGUUCCUUAGAUCGUACGUUCCUUACUUGGAUAACUGUGGGAAAACUAGAGCUAAUACAUGCGACCGAGCUCCGACCCGCGUUUUCGGGGAAAAGCGCAUUUUUCAGCACAAGACCAACGGGCGGUGUCCUCCUCGUGGGGCCCCCCCCCCAAUCUUGGUGACUCUGGAUUACUUUUUAGCAGAUCGCACGGCCCUCGAGCCGGCGACGCAUCUUUCAAACGUCUGCCUUAUCAACUUUCGAUGGUACGUGACCUGCCUACCAUGGUCGUUACGGGUGACGGGGAAUCAGGGUUCGAUUCCGGAGGGGGGGCAUUAGAAACGGCUACCACAUCCAAGGAAGGCAGCAGGCGCGCAAAUUACCCACUCCUGGCACCCCGUUUGACCCCCCUUUAAUACGGGACUCUUACGAGGCCCCGUCAUUGGAAUGAGUACACUUUAAAUCCUUUAACGAGGAUCCAUUGGAGGGCAAGUCUGGUGGGUCGUCGGCGCCAUUAUCCAGCUUUUAUAGCGUAUAUUAAAGUUGUUGCAGUUAAAAAGCUCGUAGUCGGAUCUGAGGCGCCGGCGGGCGGCUCUCUCUCUCGAGGGCCUACUGCCCGCUCCGGCCCUCCCCCGCCGGCGUGCGGCUGGUGCCCUUGACUGGAGUGCCAGCAGUGGCCGGAACGUUUACUUUGAAGAAAUUAGAGUGUUCAAGGCAGGCGGUUCCCCUGUAUGGUGGUGCAUGGAAUAAUGGAACAGGACCCCGGUUCUAUUCUGUUGGUCUUCGGAACUCGAGGUUAUGAUCAAGAGGGACGGACGGGGGCAUUCGUAUUGCGGUGUGAGAGGUGAAAUUCUUAGAUCGCCGCAAGACGGGCUGCUGCGAAAGCGCGUGCCAAGUUUAAGCUUUUUGAUCAAGAACGAAAGUCAGAGGCUCGAAGACGAUCAGAUACCGUCCUAGUUCUGACCACAAACGAUGCCGACUAGCAAUCCGCCGGAGUUGUUUGCAUGACCCCCCUGGCGGCUUCCGGGAAACCAAAGUCUUUGGGUUCCGGGGGAAGUAUGGUUGCAAAGCUCAAACUUAAAGGAAUUGACGGAAGGGCACCACCAGGAGUUGAGCCUGCGGCUUUUUUUGACUCAACACGGGGAAACUCACCCGGCCCGGACACCGUAAGGAUUGACCCCUUGAGAGCUCUUUCUUGAUUCGGUGGGUGGUGGUGUAUGGCCGUUCUUAGUUGGUGGAGCGAUUUGUCUGGUUAAUUCCGAUAACGAAAAAGAAACUGGCCUAUUAAAUAGUUCGCCCGUGCACGUCCGGCGGGCGCAAACUUCUUAGAGGGACAAGUGGCUGUCAGCCACGCGAGAUUGAGCAAUAACAGGUCUGUGAUGCCCUUAGAUGUUCGGGGCCGCACGCGCGCUACACUGAAGCAAUCAGCGUGCCUGUCUCCUGGUCCGGAAGGACCGGGCAACCCGCUGAACCUGCUUCGUGAUAGGGACUGGGGCUUGCAAUUGUUCCCCACGAACGAGGAAUCCUACUGGGACGCGAGUCAUGAGCUCGCGUCGAUUACGUCCCUGCCCUUUGUACACACCGCCCGUCCCCCCUACCGAUUGAAUGGCUUAGUGAGAUCCUAGUCCCGGCGUGCCCGGCAACGAGCGCGGCGGAGUGCCCGGAAGACGAUCGAAAAAUUU